AUUGAACGCUGGCGGCAGGCCUAACACAUGCAAGUCGAGCGAGCGGCGGACGGGUGAGUAAUGUCUGGGAAACUGCCUGAUGGAGGGGGAUAAAAACUGGAAACGGUAGCUAAUACCGCAUAACAUCAGAUGUGCCCCGAUGGGAUUAGCUAGUAGGUGGGGUAACGGCUCACCAAGGCGACGAUCCCUAGCUGGUCUGAGAGGAUGACCAGCCACACUGGAACUGAGACACGGUCCAGACUCCUACGGGAGGCAGCAGUGGGGAAUAUUGCACAAUGGGGGCAAGCCUGAUCCAGCCAUGCCGCGUGUGUGAAGAAGGCCUUCGGGUUGUAAAGCACUUUCGGCAGGGAGGCGGUACCCGCAGAAGAAGCACCGGCUAACUCCGUGCCAGCAGCCGCGGUAAUAC
rnacentral:rRNA from 1 species